rnacentral:rRNA from 1 species
UACGGAGGAUGCAAGCGUUAUCCGGAAUUAUUGGGCGUAAAGCGUCCGCAGGUGGCACUUCAAGUCUGUCGUCAAAGACCGGGGCUUAACCCUGGAAAGGCGAUGGAAACUGAAAGGCUAGAGAGAGGUAGGGGUAGAGGGAAUUCCCAGUGUAGCGGUGAAAUGCGUAGAGAUUGGGAAGAACAUCGGUGGCGAAAGCGCUCUACUGGACCUCAUCUGGCACUCAGGGACGAAAGCUAGGGGAGCGAAUGGG